CCCUUAGAUGUCCUGGGCCGCACGCGCGUUACACUGAUGCAUUCAACGAGCUUAUAACCUUGGCCGAGAGGCCUGGGCAAUCUUGUUAACGUGCAUCGUGAUAGGGAUAGAUUAUUGAAAUUAUUAAUCUUGAACGAGGAAUUCCUAGUAAACGCAGAUCAUCAAUCUGCAUUGAUUACGUCCCUGCCCUUUGUACACACCGCCCGUCGCUCCUACCGAUUGAAUGAUCCGAUGAAUACCAUGGAUUGAGAGUACGAAUAGGUUCGCUUAUUUCUGCUUCUCGAGAAGUGGAGUAAAUCUUAUCAUUUAGAGGAAGGAGAAGUCGUAACA
rnacentral:rRNA from 1 species